rnacentral:lncRNA from 1 species
CGCAGCGUCUGAAAGCAUCUUUUAAAACCUAACUGAUCAUUUUUUACAGAAACGGUCUUUAUUUGACAGUUUUUGAACAAACAGAAUCAGGAUGAAUAACGGUAACAUCAGUGUGGUUGUUUUCUUUCUCCUGGUGAUGAUGACAUCAUCUCUGUGUGCUCCAUUAAUGAGCAGAGCGUUUGAGGACGUAAAAGAAGCGGAGCUGAUUUUUGACCCCCUCCAGCCUCACAUUGACCUCAACGACGGUACGACUGUCACAGAGUAUUUCUAUUUGUUCAGAUGUUUCUAAUAUUUCAUAUGUUUCUAAUAUUUUUACUGGUUUCAGAUUACGGUGUGAAACCUCACCCUCUCCCAGUGUUUCCAGGCAUUGACGGUCCUUAUCAACCAAACUUGGAGGAUGAAUAUUACUGAUCCGAUGACACGGGGAAGACUAGUUUUGUCCCAUAUUCUACUGUAACUCAAUGUAGACAAUAGGAAAACAGACAAAAACUACAUGUAUUUAUGAGG